GGGAGUGUGGCUUAGUGAUAGAGCAUCUGCUUGGCAUGCUGAAGGCACCGGGUUCAACCCUCAGCAUCUCCA
rnacentral:tRNA from 1 species